rnacentral:rRNA from 1 species
AUUGAACGCUGGUGGCAGGCCUAACACAUGCAAGUCGAGCGGAUGAAGGGAGCUUGCUCCUGGAUUCAGCGGCGGACGGGUGAGUAAUGCCUAGGAAUCUGCCUGGUAGUGGGGGAUAACGUCCGGAAACGGGCGCUAAUACCGCAUACGUCCUGAGGGAGAAAGUGGGGGAUCUUCGGACCUCACGCUAUCAGAUGAGCCUAGGUCGGAUUAGCUAGUUGGUGGGGUAAAGGCCUACCAAGGCGACGAUCCGUAACUGGUCUGAGAGGAUGAUCAGUCACACUGGAACUGAGACACGGUCCAGACUCCUACGGGAGGCAGCAGUGGGGAAUAUUGGACAAUGGGCGAAAGCCUGAUCCAGCCAUGCCGCGUGUGUGAAGAAGGUCUUCGGAUUGUAAAGCACUUUAAGUUGGGAGGAAGGGCAGUAAGUUAAUACGUUGCUGUUUUGACGUUACCAACAGAAUAAGCACCGGCUAACUUCGUG